rnacentral:rRNA from 1 species
GACGAACGCUGGCGGCGUGCUUAACACAUGCAAGUCGAACGGAAAGGCCCUGCUUUUGUGGGGUGCUCGAGUGGCGAACGGGUGAGUAACACGUGAGUAACCUGCCCUUGACUUUGGGAUAACUUCAGGAAACUGGGGCUAAUACCGGAUAGGAGCUCCUGCUGCAUGGUGGGGGUUGGAAAGUUUCGGCGGUUGGGGAUGGACUCGCGGCUUAUCAGCUUGUUGGUGGGGUAGUGGCUUACCAAGGCAUUGACGGGUAGCCGGCCUGAGAGGGUGACCGGGCACAAUGAAACCAGGACAGGGUCGAGACGCGUACGGGGAGCAGCAGUAGGGGACCUACUGCAAUGGGCCAAAGCGUGACGGGGCAACGCCGCGUUGGUGAUGAAGGUCGGCGGAUAGUAAAGCGCGGUUAUUAGGGAAGAACAUAGGUGUAAGGAACAGUGCAGAUCAUGAAGGUACCCAAUAAGAGAGACACGGCUAAAUACGUG